UACGGAGGGUGCAAGCGUUAUCCGGAUUCACUGGGUUUAAAGGGUGCGUAGGCGGGUAAGUAAGUCCGUGGUGAAAUCUCUGAGCUUAACUCAGAAACUGCCGUGGAUACUAUUUGCCUUGAAUAUUGUGGAGGUGAGCGGAAUAUGUCAUGUAGCGGUGAAAUGCUUAGAUAUGACAUAGAACACCAAUUGCGAAGGCAGCUCACUACACAACCAUUGACGCUGAGGCACGAAAGCGUGGGGAUCAAACAGG
rnacentral:rRNA from 1 species